UACGAAGGGGGCUAGCGUUGUUCGGAAUUACUGGGCGUAAAGCGCGCGUAGGCGGCUUUGUAAGUUAGAGGUGAAAGCCCGGGGCUCAACUCCGGAACUGCCUUUAAGUCUGCAUCGCUUGAAUCCGGGAGAGGUGAGUGGAAUUCCGAGUGUAGAGGUGAAAUUCGUAGAUAUUCGGAAGAACACCAGUGGCGAAGGCGGCUCACUGGACCGGUAUUGACGCUGAGGUGCGAAAGCGUGGGGAGCAAACAGG
rnacentral:rRNA from 1 species